rnacentral:rRNA from 1 species
GAUGAACGCUGGCGGCGUGCCUAAUACAUGCAAGUCGAGCGAACAGACGAGGAGCUUGCUCCUCUGACGUUAGCGGCGGACGGGUGAGUAACACGUGGAUACCUACCUAUAAGACUGGGAUAACUUCGGGAAACCGGAGCUAAUACCGGAUAAUAUAUUGAACCGCAUGGUUCAAUAGAGAAAGACGGUUUUGCUGUCACUUAUAGAUGGAUCCGCGCCGCAUUAGCUAGUUGGUAAGGUAACGGCUUACCAAGGCAACGAUGCGUAGCCGACCUGAGAGGGUGAUCGGCCACACUGGAACUGAGACACGGUCCAGACUCCUACGGGAGGCAGCAGUAGGGAAUCUUCCGCAAUGGGCGAAAGCCUGACGGAGCAACGCCGCGUGAGUGAUGAAGGUCUUCGGAUCGUAAAACUCUGUUAUUAGGGAAGAACAAAUGUGUAAGUAACUAUGCACGUCUUGACGGUACCUAAUCAGAAAGCCACGGCUAACUACGUG